rnacentral:rRNA from 1 species
UACGUAGGGGGCAAGCGUUGUCCGGAAUUACUGGGCGUAAAGCGCGUGUAGGCGGCUAUGUAAGUCGGGCGUGAAAUCCCACGGCUCAACCGUGGAAGUGCACCCGAAACUGCGUAGCUAGAGUCCUGGAGAGGAAGGUGGAAUGCUUGGUGUAGAGGUGAAAUUCGUAGAUAUCAAGCGGAACACCGGUGGCGAAGGCGGCCUUCUGGACAGUGACUGACGCUGAGACGCGAAAGCGUGGGGAGCAAACAGG